GUAUUUUUGGCCUGCAAACUGUCUGCAUGUGCCACGCGGCAGCUACUCACUUUGCGCACUAACAAGUUGAUUCGUGUUUGAGAAGACUUUUUUUUUUAUUAUUUAUGUCUGACAGGAAAAAGACCUUAUGCUCUAUAAUGGACCAUUUUGGGUAGAAAGGAGCUGCUGCCUGCCAUGCAUCUGAACAACAUCCCAACACUGGAAGGUUUAUGAACCCAGACAAACCUUGCAUCCUAAUGGCCACCUUCCAGCGUGAGGACUAAGCAAGAGCAGUGACGCGUUGGUGCCUGGAGCACUCAGGAACAUUCCCUCCCAAGAGUGUCUUGACAGAGGACAGUCCUAAUCACCUGCACUAUGGUUUUGUUUCGUGAUUUCUGGAUUAACUUCCAGAAUUUCAGAUCACUUAGAACACUUCUAUUAACAUGCCUUUGAGACAACCAAGUUGAUAGCAUUACACACACGUUAUGUGCAUGCUGGAUAGCAUGGAGGGCCUCCAGAUCACUCAGAGGUAAGCACAGAUUUCUUUCUUCCCUUCACAAAUUAUGUAUUCAACUUCAAAGUCUGAGAGACAAAGAUUUUCUAGAUCACUGUGUGCAGGUAUGCUUUUUGACCACAGACCUUAUUUUCUUGCUUGUGCACCCCUACCCCACCACAGCCUUUUUGCACAGGGGUUAUCUCCUAGGCACAAAGACCACAGCCUUCAGCAAUGCAAGCACACACCAAACAGUGUCCAAACUUCGUUAUUUAAACAGAGACAAAAAAUAAACAAAGAAACAACAACAAAAAAAAACCAACCCAGCUUCAUCGACAUUUUGUUGUUAUGCUCCAGUCCUCGUACAGGAUGCGCAUCCGCUGUGCGGGGCCGAAGCCCCGGGGAGGAGUGAAGCUGGGACGAUGCCGGCCGGCGUCCCGUCCUGUCGCUGUCACUCAGAGCCGGGCAAGCGGGGAAGAGCGGCGCACGGCAGCACCUUGGACAGAGCCACACCGCGCACUGCCCAGCCCAGGUGCUCUGCUAUUGCCUAUGAUACCCGUUGUACUGCCGUGGCCUUUGCGUGCGGGAAACAACCGCCGUGGGGUACCAACGACUCUCUCCGGGGUCCCUCAGCCGGCUCCCGCCAUGCCCAGCCCCGCGGCGGGGACGGCCACAGGAGGCGGCGGAAAGCGGCGGCUCCGCGAUCCCACCAUCGCUGCGCUCCUGAGGGAAAGCGGGGCCGCUUCCGGUGCGAGGCGGAUAUGGGCGGAAGUGGCGCCGCCGCACCGCCUGCUCACAGGGCGCCGCCAUGCGGAGCGGAGGUUAGCAGGGUGCUGGGAGCCCAAGUGCCGCCCCGUCCAGGCUGGGAUCCCACCAAGGGCGUCUCAUCCAGGCUGGAACCCUUCCAUUGCCCCCGAUAGCUGACUUUUCCCGGAUGCAGAC
ensembl:lncRNA